rnacentral:rRNA from 1 species
CACGUAGGGUGCGAGCGUUGUCCGGAAUUAUUGGGCGUAAAGAGCUCGUAGGCGGCUUGUCGCGUCGGAUGUGAAAGCCCGGGGCUUAACUCCGGGUCUGCAUUCGAUACGGGCAGGCUAGAGUUCGGUAGGGGAGAUCGGAAUUCCUGGUGUAGCGGUGAAAUGCGCAGAUAUCAGGAGGAACACCGGUGGCGAAGGCGGAUCUCUGGGACGGUACUGACGCUGAGACGCGAAAGCAUGGGGAGCGAACAGG